UACAGAGGGUGCGAGCGUUGUCCGGAAUCACUGGGCGUAAAGGGCGCGUAGGUGGCGGCUCAAGUCCAUGGUGAAAGCUCGCCGCUCAACGGCGAGUCGGCCACGGAUACUGGGUUGCUCGAGCACUGUAGGGGCAGAUGGAAUUCCGGGUGUAGCGGUGGAAUGCGUAGAGAUCCGGAAGAACACCAGUGGCGAAGGCGGUCUGCUGGGCAGUUGCUGACACUGAGGCGCGACAGCGUGGGGAGCAAACAGG
rnacentral:rRNA from 1 species